rnacentral:lncRNA from 1 species
GUUAUCUCUUUAGCCAUUCCUGCAGACCUGCAGGCACUGUGUUUCUUAGGUGUGCACUGCCAAAGGGGAAUGUUUUUCUAUUCAGUUCUGUCUUGCAGCUGCUGAAGCGAAACCUUCCUCUCCUGUUUUUUUAGGGAAAAAAAAUGCAAAAAUGAGGAAAGCCUGCUUUAGUUUUGGGAGACAGAAGGUAUCAGAACUACUGUUCAUCCUCAGAGAGGUUCCCAGGAUGUAGGAAAUCAAGUGCUGUGAGUGUCAUGCAGCUGACAGGUCUACUGGCGAAGCUGAAGGUCACAGCCAGGGCAGAAAUUCUUUAAACAAAACAGAGUCAAAUUAUCAGGGAAGUUUGGAGCUGUUUGCAAGAUCUGCUGGGUUGGUUGCUCACCCUGUUAAAAGAAGCCACCAUCUGGGACAGCA